rnacentral:rRNA from 2 species
CCUGUACUUUCUAUAAAUGUGAUGGAGUGACGGAGAAGGAUAACUUUACUGCUUAUUGGAUUAGCAGGGUAAGUAUYAAUUGGGGACUGUAGGCAAAUCCGCAGGCCAUAACCGAAAGAUACGAUGCAUAGCACAUUUGUGCGAAUUAAGUGAUUUCACGCUUCCAAGAAAAGCUUCUAAACUUAAGUUUAUGGAAACCUGUACCAAGAACGGACACACGUCCCCUAGAUGAGUAUUCUAAGGCGAGCGAGAAAACUAGUGUUAAGGAACUCUGCAAAAUGACCCCGCAAGUUCGCAAGAAGGGGAACCUAUAGUAACAUAUAGGUCACAGUAAAUUAUGAGGGGCAACUGUUUAUCAAAAACACAGCUCUCUGCUAAACCGCAAGGUGAUGUAUAGGGGGUGAAGCCUGCCCAGUGCCCGAAGGUUAAGUGGAUGCGUUAG